rnacentral:lncRNA from 1 species
CACAGUGGUAGCAAGCAGGAUAUGGAAAGCUUACAUUAUACGCAGUUGCUAUAUACAGGAUUUGGGGCCCCUGAAUUCUCAGUGGUUGGAGUCUUUUUUCCUCAUUAAAAGCUCGGCUGGACUCUGCUAUCCUUCUCUACUUCCCAUGGCUGUCACUGCUAAUCUUCACAGAUUCAUCUUUAUUUUGAAGGUCAUGGAACUCUAGAGAUGUUUAGAUGUAUUUGAGCUGGCAGAGGAAUUAUUUUACUUCAUUCAUUUCUCCCUACAAAAGUUUUUUUUUUUUUUUUUUAUUCUGCAUUUUGCCAUUUUAUUUGACCACACCAGCAAGUCUGUUUAACUGAAUGUGGUAUUUUCACAAGGAAUAAUGAUCUGAGGGAAGGGGGCCUGUUCCCGAAAGUGGGAUUGUGGAUGCUAGUCUUGGCUCUGUUUCUGGGGUUUAUUAGAAGAGUGUUUAUAAAAUCUCUCUAUUUGUAUUUACCAAGAAUAUCAGUGGGGGAAGGGUCAAAAAAAGUCCUAGGACUCAGAAUUCUCUGAGGAUAAAUCAAUCAUUAAGUACAUCGUUUUUAUAUGAAUGGCCAAGACUUGAUGCAUGGUGUCAGACCACUCAGCUCUCAGCCAUGGGUCAGCAAGGAUUCAGAUGUACAAUCAACCUUCUUUCAUCCCUCAGAAAUACAUGAAACGCUAGUCAACUAACCAGCAGACUGCUCUGAGAUUUCUUGGGUAGAAGGAUCUGAAAGAUUUUACCAGCCUUUGCUCUCCUUUAAGCAUUCUAAGCCAAUUAGAAAUCCCAGUGAGCUACUUGCUGUGCCCCUGCAGAGGCAAUAAAGAGCACCACUCUUUGUAACCUCUGUCUCUCCUUCCCUCUUUCUUGGAAGCCCAGCAGUAGCUAUGCACACUAUGGGAGCUUAUAGCUUAUCAGAGGUAGAGGUACUUACUGUACAUUAAACAUCCAUUUUUGGCGGAAAAAAAAAAGCUUCCCCCCCCCGCAGAUGGUCUUAAACUUGAGUAGGGAGUUUCAUGCAUUCCAUAAAAUGUGAAUGUGUACAUUUGGGGGCUAGGGUGGGGAGGGGCAUGUAAUACCUCAAAGGGUCAUAGAGUCAAAGCUCAGUGAGAAACCCUGAUCUGAGGACUCCUUGCUGCGUGGCCUCAUUCAUUCCACGAUAAGCCAAAUGGGUACACUCACUCAUAUGGGGCUUGACUUCGAUGUGUUUUACAUAAAAAUGUUUCUAAGCUACAAGUUUAAGUCCUUUCAUCUGUUCAGAUUUCUGUAGAUGAACCCACUUUUUUAUCAGAGGGAGUCAAUACACAGUGGAUACAAAGUUUAGAAUUUGGAAUUUUAAUCUCAAAUUUGUCAGGGUGUAACUAAUUUACUUAUUAAUUAAUUCAACAAAUACUUAUUGAAAAUCUACUCAGUGUCAGUCACUAUGCUAGUCUCUGGAGAUAUAAUGGAGAACAAUGUAGACACACACUCUACUUUCUUAGACCUUAUAAGUUGGGUGUCCAUUACCGAAUAACUUUACCUCUCUGAGACUCAUUUUUUUUUUUUUUUCACCAGUAGAAAGAGGUUAUGGUAAGUACUAAAGGAGAAAUAUAUGGGAAAGUGCUUUAUAAAUUCUACUGUUUUAAAUAUAUUGAAGAUUACACACACACACACAAGUAGACACACACACAGAGUCACAAUCAUCUUCUAGUCACUGAAAAGCAUACUGAAGGCCUGAUGAAGUUUGCUAAAAGAGACUAUGACACAAAUCUUCAUAUUUCUAAGAAGGGGAGGUUGUGUGGAGACUUUCUUAAACCUGACUUAGGAUCCUGAGUAUGACUGAGGCUUUUCUCAAGAAUUUUUGUAAGGAGGCAGGCUAUAAAUUACAGAUCAGCCUGAGAAUUUUUGAUCCUCUCCUGUGUACAUGCACUCUUGGAGCAGCAGUAUGUGGAUAAUCUGACAGACCUCAAAGUCAAGGAUGGAGAUAAGACAAUGUGACACAGGUCAGAAAUGUGCCAAGGGUGCCACCUGUGGAAAUAAUUGCAGCAGGCUGGUCCUGUGAGCAUCUUCUCCCCAGAACCCCGGAAGUAAGAAAACACUGUGGGGAAAACAAGUUUUAAUGAGCACUUUGUGUUUGGGAGGAGGGAGAGUGGCUUCAUCUUCUCCUUUCCAUGCCCAGUUCUCAAAAUAAGCCUGAGGUGGGCACUUUGGAUGGAGUUGAACAGAGAAGAUGGACAGAGAAUGCCAGGGUCUGUUGGGAUGAGAGCCCAUUGGGCUAGAGUCUUCUUUCUUUUCUAGAGCAAGGACAUGUCUCAAGUUCUUGUUACAGUGGAAAGAUAAAGGUAAAUGGUAUAUAUACUAUUCUCAGAGGUGCUUAAACUAUGACAUCCAAGAAAGAGAAAGUAUUGUGAAACAGGAAAGAGAAAAUCUAUCCAUUUCUUCCAUAUCCACUGCUACCACCAUUGAUGGAGCCACCAUCAUACUGGGCCAUGGCAAAGGCUUCUUUAUUGACGUCCUAAUUUUUACUCUUGACUUUGCUUUUUCUUCAAGCUAAAUUCAGAUUAUGUCUCUCUCCUGUUUGCACCUAUUCUGUGUCUUCUUCUUGCACUUGGAAGAAGCUCCAAAUGCUUUGCUUUAAAAAGACCCUGCAUGAUCUGGUUUCUCAGAUCUCAUCAAAGUUACCUCCUUCCCUUCACUUCUAUUCUUACCUUCCAUUCACACUGGCCUUAUUGAUUUCCCAAAUUUCCAAGCUUCUUCCUGCCACAGGACAUUUGCAAAGGCUGUGUCCUCUGCCUGGAGGGCUCUUCUCUAGGUGAUUCUUCCCCACAAUCCAAGAGGCCCCCCUAACAUUCCACUUAAAACAAACCUACCUCCGCUUUCUUUUUCUUUAAUGUAAAGUUCUGGUAACUUCCUUCAAAUCAGCUGCCCUCGUUUAUAAUUUAUGUACUUGCUUAUUUGCUUUUCUAUCUCCAUGACCAAACCAUAGGCUUCAGGAAGGCCAAAUCCAUUAUGUUUACUCACCACGCCCUAGUGCUUGAACCAUAAUAUGACAUCCAACAAAUAUCCAUCAAAAGGAUAAAUAAGUGUUUGAAUUUCUUUCCCUUCAGUUCUUACCGAGAACACAGGCAAUGAUAUGGGCCAGUUUCUCUCUGUGCCUUUGCACAUGCAGCUCCUUCUGUCUGGACUGCAUUUUCCCCCUCACCCGCUCUCCAAACUGCCACUCACUCUGCUUCAAGGCCCAGAACCACCCUCUCUUCUUCUGUGAUGCUGCCUCUUGUCUCUCGUUCAUGUCUUCUCACUACCCAUGUAGAUGUCUAGUAGCAUUUAUGACACCAUAUUGUGACCGCAUGUUUAUAUUUCUGGACCCCUCUCCCCCCAUCGUGAACUCUCUGAGGAUAGGAAGCUUGUCUUACUCCUCUUUGCUGCUCCAGCAGCAGUGCCUGGAAUGCCACAGUCACAUGACACACAUUGGUGAGGAGCCUGCAGAUCUGUAUACAUUCCAUUGGAAGAGGCAGGGUGUGGGGACAGCCGGCCAGUCCCUGUGGCUCCUGCCAAGUGGCAGGAUUGGUGGUGGUGGUGCCUGAAAUCUGUUUCUCCUGUUGAACAAAGAGCCGUCUAUGAACAGGGAGGAUGGGACGCCCCCUCCCCUCCCUGCCGGCCCCCUUCAGAGGUGAAAGCAGCCUGUGUCAUGCCUCGCUAGGGUUUUCCUUUCCUUUGAGAGGAGAACAUUCUCAAGGCGGAUUUUCAAGCUGAAGUCAUCCAGAACAAAAGCUGCUUGCCAGCUGUGGCCCAGCAGCCCGGCGCCCCUCCCCCUGCAGCCCGGGUGCCAUUACAGCCUAAUGGAAGAGGGGUGGGAAGGCUUCCGGUGCAACAUCUGGCCGGGGCCACUGUCAGCCAGGGAGACCGAGACCAGAGACUUGCGCACCUGACUUCUUGAGGUGGUUGGAGGUGCCUCCAAAAGCACAGAGAAAGUGGGGAGGAGAAGCCAGCCUGGGGUGAGGCAAAUGGCAUACUAUUCUCAGAGGUGCUUAAGGAGGCACUGACAGCCUCCUUCCCUUGUGUGCUUUCCCUGCCGGCCACCAGACCUCUCCUUGGCCCAGAGCUGUGAACUUGGGCUGUUGAGAAUGAGGAGCCGCCCUUGUUUAGUACCCAGGGGGCUGAAGGGCAGGCUGGAGUCCACCUGAGAAGGUUGUUCUUAUUAAUUUCGGUUCUCGGUCCCAUCAGGAUUUCCCACCUCCUCCAGACAGUGUCUCUCCACUCCUUUCCCACAGACCCUUGUGUCCUCCCAUCUGGCCAGGCCUCUGAUCUUCAACAGCAGGACUGGAACACUUAGACUGUGUUUCUCACCUUUCUAUAGUCCUGUCUUUGCUCUCUGCUAAAGGCAGUUGUUCUGACAAAGAUUUCUGAUGGUAACACACAGCUGUGUUCAGGGAAGUUUUUUGUUUGUUUGUUUAUUUUAAUUUCAGCAGUGGCUUCUGAAGACCAAGCAAAGACUCAAAGGAGCAAGUGGAAAUAUCAGGUUCUGUGGUAGGCUUUUGGGGGCAGCCUUGCAUUGUAAUAAUUCCCCAAAUCAAUUCCACCUAGACCCUGACUCCAGGUCUGAUUUUUUUCUUUUUCCUUCUUGGGGCCCCAGAGUAUAUACCCAGCAAAAACGUGAGUUGGGAUUUUUGGAGGGUCCACACUGGUUAGUGAAGUGUCUGUAAACUAGCUGCAGACCAGCAGAGCAGACGUUAUCUUAAUGGUACCGAUAGAUCAGGAGUGUCACACAUCAUUAAAAUAGCUGAUUGAUUAGAAGAAAAUAAUUAGCUUGCCCUGCCUUGCUGGAAAGCUUUUUGACAUGCCAAGAAGGAGAUAUGGAAGGGACGAGGGGUCAUCCAUCUUUUGAUCAUUUGUUUUCCCUCCAAGGUGAUGAAAAAGGCCCUGAUAACCCUUAGGGAAGGGAAGGAAUAUAAACAAGUCCUAGUUCUUCUUUGCCAUUUACUCAGAGGGAAGCUAUCUGCAGACUUUCUGGAGUGUGGUGUGUUUAUUACAGUUACAUAGAUACACUCCUUUAAAUCAAACACUCUGUUAGUGCCUUGGAGUUGUAAAUCAGUGGUUCUUUUCAAGUGACUUGAUAGAAUGUGAUAUUCUGCUUUCCCUUGACAGGAUAUAAACACAGAAACCUAAAUAUUAUAAUCAAGGCCAGCCAUUGGCAGGAAGGGCUACAAAGAAGGGCGUGGGGAUUCUGGUGGCUUUUCAGUGCCCUCCUUGCCUCCUCUGUAUCUGCCUUUCUCUGGGUGUUCCUAACCAUCCCCUUGUUCACUUCGGAGAAAGUUGGUAAACUUAUUUAUACUCAGGAGGGAUAUGAUUUAAGGCAAUCCUAUGCUUAGAGACAUUUGCAUUUCUGCUAAAAGCACACAGAAUCUUAAGCCAAAGAAUGUCUCCGAUGUGAUGAUGGGUCUUCUCACUAUCUUGGAAGUCAUACUGAUAACUCAGUGCCCCCCCCCCCCGGUAAUACUGCACCCCUAGGGGACAGAGGAAAGAGCAAGAGCAGAUCCAGCUCCUGGCUUCAGCAGACUGAGUUGUAUUCCCCCCCACCUCCUGCCUCCCUUCCCAUUCUUACUCUCCAUUAUUGCUUCAAGGAGCUACAGAUAAAAGUACGUUAUUAAUCUUGUGUUAGAAAAUAAAAGGGGGAGUUCCCUUGCGGCACAGUGGGAAAGAAUCUGACCAGGAACCAUGAGGUUGUGGGUUCAAUCCUUGGCCUCACUCAGUACGUUAAGGAUCUGGCAUUGCCAUGAGCUGCUGUGUAGGUCACAGACGCGGCUCAGAUCCCUCGUUGCUGUGGCUGUGGUGUAGGCCGGCAGCUGUAGCUCCAAUUAGACCCCUAACCUGGGAACCUCCAUAUGC